UCAGGCAACUCUGGAAAGCGGACGUUCCGUGACGUCCCGCCGACGGUGAAAGCCCACGCAUAUCGGUCGCGGGUCGAUAUGCCGGGUGAAGCUCUCAGGCAUACGUACAGAGGGGGAGGU
rnacentral:ncRNA from 2 species